GGUUGCGUAGUGUAGCGGUUAUCACUCCAGAUUCUGAUGAAUAUUUCAAGCACGAAUCCGGAACUUCUGGCAACCCCGGUUCGAUUCCGGGCGCGACCU